rnacentral:rRNA from 1 species
UACGUAGGGUGCGAGCGUUAAUCGGAAUUACCGGGCGUAAAGCGUGCGCAGGCGGUUUUGUAAGCCAGAUGUGAAAUCCCCGGGCUUAACCUGGGAAUGGCAUUUGGGACUGCAAGGCUUGAGUGCGGCAGAGGAGACUGGAAUUCCCGGUGUAGCAGUGAAAUGCGUAGAUAUCGGGAGGAAUACCGAUGGCGAAGGCAGGUCUCUGGGCUGACACUGACGCUCAUGCACGAAAGCGUGGGGAGCAAACAGG